UACAGAGGUCUCAAGCGUUGUUCGGAUUCAUUGGGCGUAAAGGGUGCGUAGGCGGCGCGGUAAGUCGGGUGUGAAAUCUCGAGGCUCAACCUCGAAACUGCACUUGAUACUGCCUUGCUGGAGUACUGGGAGAGGAGAUUGGAAUUUACGGUGUAGCAGUGAAAUGCGUAGAUAUCGGGAGGAACACCAGUGGCGAGGCGACUAUCUGGGGUGCAACUGGACGCUGAGGCGCGAAGGCUAGGGUAGCAAACAGG
rnacentral:rRNA from 1 species